UUGAGGUUGUGCAGAAUGGGGCUUGAAAACGGAUUCGAAAUCCGUUGAGUCAGCAAUGGCUCCUAGGGUUCAAAUCCCUAUCUCUCC
rnacentral:tRNA from 1 species